GGUUGUGUAGUGUAGUGGUUAUCACUCUGGAUUUUGACUACAUUCUUGUACUGAAUUCCAGUAACCCCGGUUCGAACCCGGGCACGACCU